rnacentral:pre_miRNA from 14 species
CUUCUGGUUUCCAAAAUGUAUUCUAUAUAAAAAUUUAUUAAGCUCUUAAUGAAAGACCACCAGAGUGGGGAGACUCUCACUCAAGUCUCGGGAUGACGCGAUCCCCCCAAGAACUCACACAAGACU